rnacentral:rRNA from 1 species
AGAGUUUGAUCCUGGCUCAGAUUGAACGCUGGCGGCAGGCCUAACACAUGCAAGUCGAACGGUAACGGGAAGAAGCUUGCUUCUUUGCCGACGAGUGGCGGACGGGGGAGUAAUACUUAGGAAUAUGCCUUUGUGUGGGGGAUAACUAUUGGAAACGAUAGCUAAUACCGCAUAACGUCUUCGGACCAAAGGGGGCUUUCGGGCCUUCGGGCUGCCGCUUUAUGAUGGACCUGCGUUAGAUUAGCUAGUUGGUGGGGUAAAGGCUUACCAAGGCGACGAUCUAUAGCUGUUCUGAGAGGAAGAUCAGCCACACUGGGACUGAGACACGGCCCAGACUCCUACGGGAGGCAGCAGUGGGGAAUAUUGGACAAUGGGGGCAACCCUGAUCCAGCAAUGCCACGUGUGUGAAGAAGGCCUUAGGGUUGUAAAGCACUUUCAGCAGGGAGGAAGUUGAGUAGGUUAAGAGCUAACUUAAUUGACGUCACCUGCAGAAGAAGCACCGGCUAACUCCGUGCCAGCAGCCGCGGUAAUACGGAGGGUGCGAGCGUUAAUCGGAAUUACUGGGCGUAAAGAGUUCGUAGGCGGUUAAGUAAGUCAGAUGUGAAAGCCCUGGGCUCAACCUGGGAACUGCAUCUGAUACUGUCUAACUAGAGUUUGGUAGAGGAGUGUGGAAUUUCCUGUGUAGCGGUGAAAUGCGUAGAGAUCUGAAGGAACAUCAGUGGCGAAGGCGACACUCUGGGCUGAUACUGACGCUGAGGUGCGAAAGCGUGGGUAGCAAACAGGAUUAGAUACCCUGGUAGUCCACGCCGUAAACGAUGUCUAUUAGCCGUUGGGUUCCUUGAGGACUUAGUGGCGCAGCUAACGCAUUAAGUAGACCGCCUGGGGAGUACGGCCGCAAGGUUAAAACUCAAAUGAAUUGACGGGGGCCCGCACAAGCGGUGGAGCAUGUGGUUUAAUUCGAUGCAACGCGAAGAACCUUACCUGCCCUUGACAUCCUCAGAACUUGUCAGAGAUGACUCGGUGCCUUCGGGAACUGAGAGACAGGUGCUGCAUGGCUGUCGUCAGCUCGUGUCGUGAGAUCUUGGGUUAAGUCCCGCAACGAGCGCAACCCUUAUCCUUAGUUACCAGACUUCGGGUGGGAACUUUAAGGAGACUGCCGGUGACAAACCGGAGGAAGGUGGGGACGACGUCAAGUCAUCAUGGCCCUUACGUCUUGGGCUACACACGUGCUACAAUGGGGAGUACAGAGGGUUGCCAAGCCGCGAGGUGGAGCUAAUCCCAGAAAACUUCUCGUAGUCCGGAUUGGAGUUUACAACUCGACUCCAUGAAGUUGGAAUCGCUAGUAAUCGCGAAUCAGAAUGUCGCGGUGAAUACGUUCCCGGGCCUUGUACACACCGCCCGUCACAUCAUGGGAGUGUGUUGCAACAGAAGUAGCUAGUUUAACCUUCGGGAUGACGGUUACACGAUUACCACGGUAUGGUUCAUGACUGGGGUGAAGUCGUAACAAGGUAACC